CGGUACGGGUGGAGUAACACGUGGAUCAUCUACCUCUUGGUGGGGAAUAACCCUGGGAAACCGGGGCUAAUACCGCAUAAGCCUGCAAAGGGAAAGCAGCAAUGCGCCGAGAGAGGAGUCCGCGGCCGAUUAGCUAGUUGGCGGGGUAAUGGCCCACCAAGGCGAAGAUCGGUAGCCGGCCUGAGAGGGCACACGGCCACACUGGCACUGAAACACGGGCCAG
rnacentral:rRNA from 1 species